rnacentral:rRNA from 1 species
CCUACGGGUGGCAGCAGUGAGGAAUAUUGGUCAAUGGCCGGAAGGCUGAACCAGCCAAGCCGCGUGAAGGACGAAGGUGCCAAGCAUUGUAAACUUCUUUUGUCAAGGGACAAAAUCAGGCUCGUGAGCCUUACCGAGGGUACUUGAAGAAAAAGCAUCGGCUAACUCCGUGCCAGCAGCCGCGGUAAUACGGAGGAUGCGGGCGUUAUCCGGAUUUAUUGGGUUUAAGGGGUGCGUAGUCGGGCUGUUAAGUCCGCGGUAAAAGCCCGGGGCUAAACCCCGGCGAGCCGUUGAAACUGGCGGUCUGGAGAUGUGGAGGGGUAGGCGGAAUG